UCGGGAAUUUUGGGCAAUGGGCGAAAGCCUGACCCAGCAACGCCGCGUGAAGGAUGAAGUAUUUCGGUAUGUAAACUUCGAAAGAAUAGGAAGAAUAAAUGACGGUACUAUUUAUAAGGUCCGGCUAACUACGUGCCAGCAGCCGCGGUAAUACGUAGGGUGCGAGCGUUAAUCGGAAUUACUGGGCGUAAAGCGUGCGCAGGCGGUUAUUUAAGUCUGAUGUUAAAUACUGUGGCCCAACCACAGAACUGCAUUGGAUACUGGAUGACUUGAGUGCGGUAGAGGCAAGUGGAAUUCCCAGUGUAGCGGUGAAAUGCGUAGAUAUUGGGAAGAACACCAGUGGCGUAAGCGACUUGCUGGCCCGUAACUGACGCUGAGGAACGAAAGCCAGGGGAGCGAAUGGGAUUAGAUACCCAAGUAGUCCCUGAGCGGGCUGGCAAGGCGCAU
rnacentral:rRNA from 1 species